CUUGCUUCUCUUGAGAGCGGUGGACGGGUGAGUAAUGCCUAGGAAUCUGCCUGGUAGUGGGGGAUAACGUUCGGAAACGGACGCUAAUACCGCAUACGUCCUACGGGAGAAAGCAGGGGACCUUCGGGCCUUGCGCUAUCAGAUGAGCCUAGGUCGGAUUAGCUAGUUGGUGGGGUAAUGGCUCACCAAGGCGACGAUCCGUAACUGGUCUGAGAGGAUGAUCAGUCACACUGGAACUGAGACACGGUCCAGACUCCUACGGGAGGCAGCAGUGGGGAAUAUUGGACAAUGGGCGAAAGCCUGAUCCAGCCAUGCCGCGUGUGUGAAGAAGGUCUUCGGAUUGUAAAGCACUUUAAGUUGGGAGGAAGGGUUGUAGAUUAAUACUCUGCAAUUUUGACGUUACCGACAGAAUAAGCACCGGCUAACUCUGUGCCAGCAGCCGCGGUAAUACAGAGGGUGCAAGCGUUAAUCGGAAUUACUGGGCGUAAAGCGCGCGUAGGUGGUUUGUUAAGUUGGAUGUGAAAUCCCCGGGCUCAACCUGGGAACUGCAUUCAAAACUGACUGACUAGAGUAUGGUAGAGGGUGGUGGAAUUUCCUGUGUAGCGGUGAAAUGCGUAGAUAUAGGAAGGAACACCAGUGGCGAA
rnacentral:rRNA from 1 species